rnacentral:rRNA from 1 species
UACGUAGGGGGCAAGCGUUGUCCGGAAUUACUGGGCGUAGAGGGUGCGUAGGCGGCUUGGCAAGUCGGAUGUGAAAUACUCUUGCUUAACGAGAGAGGUGCAUACGAAACUGCUGAGCUUGAGUGCAGGAGAGGGAAGCGGAAUUCCUAGUGUAGCGGUGAAAUGCAUAGAUAUUAGGAGGAACACCAGUGGCGAAGGCGGCUUUCUGGACUGUAACUGACGCUGAGGCACGAAAGCGUGGGGAGCAAACAGG